GACGAACGCUGGCGGCGUGCCUAAUACAUGCAAGUUGAGCGAUGAAGAUUGGUGCUUGCACCAAUUUGAAGAGCAGCGAACGGGUGAGUAACGCGUGGGGAAUCUGCCUUUGAGCGGGGGACAACAUUUGGAAACGAAUGCUAAUACCGCAUAACAACUUUAAACAUAAGUUUUAAGUUUGAAAGAUGCAAUUGCAUCUCUCAAAGAUGAUCCCGCGUUGUAUUAGCUAGUUGGUGAGGUAAAGGCUCACCAAGGCGAUGAUACAUAGCCGACCUGAGAGGGUGAUCGGCCACAUUGGGACUGAGACACGGCCCAAACUCCUACGGGAGGCAGCAGUAGGGAAUCUUCGGCAAUGGACGAAAGUCUGACCGAGCAACGCCGCGUGAGUGAAGAAGGUUUUCGGAUCGUAAAACUCUGUUGGUAGAGAAGAACGUUGGUGAGAGUGGAAAGCUCAUCAAGUGACGGUAACUACCCAGAAAGGGACGGCUAACUACGUG
rnacentral:rRNA from 1 species